AGUCGAGGGGCAGCAUGGUCUUAGCUUGCUAAGGCCGAUGGCGACCGGCGCACGGGUGAGUAACACGUAUCCAACCUGCCGUCUACUCUUGGACAGCCUUCUGAAAGGAAGAUUAAUACAAGAUGGCAUCAUGAGUCCGCAUGUUCACAUGAUUAAAGGUAUUCCGGUAGACGAUGGGGAUGCGUUCCAUUAGAUAGUAGGCGGGGUAACGGCCCACCUAGUCUUCGAUGGAUAGGGGUUCUGAGAGGAAGGUCCCCCACAUUGGAACUGAGACACGGUCCAAACUCCUACGGGAGGCAGCAGUGAGGAAUAUUGGUCAAUGGGCGAGAGCCUGAACCAGCCAAGUAGCGUGAAGGAUGACUGCCCUAUGGGUUGUAAACUUCUUUUAUAAAGGAAUAAAGUCGGGUAUGGAUACCCGUUUGCAUGUACUUUAUGAAUAAGGAUCGGCUAACUCCGUGCCAGCAGCCGCGGUAAUACGGAGGAUCCGAGCGUUAUCCGGAUUUAUUGGGUUUAAAGGGAGCGUAGAUGGAUGUUUAAGUCAGUUGUGAAAGUUUGCGGCUCAACCGUAAAAUUGCAGUUGAUACUGGAUAUCUUGAGUGCAGUUGAGGCAGGCGGAAUUCGUGGUGUAGCGGUGAAAUGCUUAGAUAUCACGAAGAACUCCGAUUGCGAAGGCAGCCUGCUAAGCUGCAACUGACAUUGAGGCUCGAAAGUGUGGGUAUCAAACA
rnacentral:rRNA from 1 species